rnacentral:tRNA from 1 species
GGGGAAUUAGCUCAGAUGGCCAGAGCGCCGGCUUCGCAUGUCGGAGGUCGCGAGUUCGACUCUCGUAUUCUCCACCA